rnacentral:lncRNA from 1 species
UAGGAAACAGAAAAACAGAUCCAUCAGAUUGUUUUGUCCGUCACGGUCAGCACGAGUCGAAUCUCUUGAUGGGGCCAGAUCCGUUGGAAAGGUCUUGUAAUUAGCUUUCCAACAAGUACUUGUUUGCUUGAUUUGGACUUCGGAUGCGGCCUGGGUGAUUAAAACAAAUUCGGGUCUCCUGGCAGCUCGAACCCGAAUCAGAUUCAACUUUAAUUCGUGAUAUCUUUCUCUAGCAAGCUCCGAAUCAUGUGCCGUUUGAUUUGUUGGAAAGUACACUUGAAAUCCUUCCCUCUCAGCUGUAUGAAUGCUUGAUUCUUGUUGGCCCUCCCGUUCGCCUCCAUCGUAUCUCAUCUUGACCUUGGACUUGAAAAGCUCGACAAGAUACCUACGUAAUAAAACGAGACAAGAUAGUAGUAGCUCCGCCUCUUCAUAAAUAUGACAAUGAAAACAAUUACUACUUGAAUUCACUUGAUUAUAAAUCUUGUCAAAUAUUAUAGAAUUGAGGCUACCAAAGGUCGUAUCCAUGGUUAGCAUGUCCAUAUCACCGGAGGUUGUGUGGCGCCCAGAUCUGUGGGGGAUGGAAGUAGGGGCAGCCGCCAUGGGAGAGAGAGUGCCGGGUGAGAAUAAAAAGAGAGAGGGCCGGGAGUCCAAUCUUUCGCGCGAGAGAGGUGGACCGAGAUGAUUCCUUGUUUUUCGAGGAAUUGGUUCGUUCCAAAUCCGAGGGGUAUAUUCCCAACUGUGGAACCAUUUCGUUCCAUGCCAAUUUUCUCUGUUCUUUCAACCAAACGCUGAAACCACCUCCAAAACUGAAACCAUUCCACUUGAUUCCCCCAACCAAACACUGCCUAAGAGAACGAGUUAUACUAAUUACAUACUAGCUAAGUGCCCAUGCGUUGCAACGGUGAGAUAAACAUUGUAUAGCUUAACACCAAGAAAGUUAGCUAAUUAAUGAUUGAUGGAGAUCGUCCCUCGUAGGAAGGUGGAGAUAAUCUCGGUUUUUUUUCAUCUGGCGAGGUUGUUACCCUGGCAUUGCCUGUAAUCACGGGAAAGUCGCAGGUCACUGGAGAUCGUGAUUGAUGGAGAUCAUGGUGGAGAUAAUCUCGGGAUUUUAUUUCCAUCUGGCGAGGUUGUUAUCUUGAAAUUGGGUUAAUAGCAGGAAAAACGUACGUCGGGCAUCUCGUUUUUUUUUCCGUGGGUUGUUUUGCGCACGAGUGAGCAGACGUACGUGGGAGGGACGUACGCCAAAGUGUGGCUUAAAGAAUAGUAAAUAAAUCCUAGCGAACGUCACACGUUUUGCAAAAUCUUUGUUUUAAAUUCAGAGUCCAUCUACUAACCACAAUUAUUACAAAGUGUACAUCAAUGUAAAAUAAGAAAACUUACAUGGCAGGCAUGACAGAACAACUAAGCCUAAACUGGCUUAUGCACAAGCUGAAGCUAUCUAGGCUGCCUUUGCUUAUGUUGGAGCUGAACAGAAGUUAGUUGGAAACAGAAGAAGCUAAUUUUUUGCUGGAGUUGGAGUUGGAUGCUGCAGCUAGAGAGUUAUAGUCCGUUUAGAGUGGCGGUGAAACUGUAGCUGUAGUUGGGUGCGAGUGGAAUAUUUGAGAUGUCCUUGUUCGCUGUAAAUUUCGUUUAAGUGCUGGGUUUUUGCUAUAAUAGAAAAUGACGAGUUUAAGAAUUGUUUGAGCGUAAAAUACCUAAUUUUGAUAGGAUUUAACAAAAGUGUUUUCGCUAGAUUUAGCAUGGAUGAUUUCAUAUAUUAUUUAACUUUGACAAUGAGAAAAAUAGUCUUAACGGGUCAUACUUAUUUGAUAUUGUAGAUUUUAUCAUAGUGAAAAAUAUAACAUGGUGCGAAUCUGAAAAUCUGAAAAUUUACCAGCAUGAUGCUAGAUGAAAACACGAGAUGCAAGGUGGGAUGCCCCUCCAAUCAGUUAAAUGCAUUUUUUUUAAACUGCACGUUGAAUUCAACAUGUUCUUCAGGUUUAGUAGGGUGUGCAAUUCCACGACACGGGAAGCGUGCUCGAGGAAGAAGGGGAGGGCAUUGGACAGUGCAAAUCGAGCUAGGCGCGCGCCGGAUCUGUGCGGUAGUGGUCGGCGAAGACAAAGCCACGCCGCCGGAUCAGCGCUGCAGUGGUUGGCUGGCAGAGGAGGGCUGACAGGAGACUGACGUGUUUCAACGCAUCGGAGGAGGGAGUGAUCGGUGAAGACGAAGCUGCCACCGGAUCUGCGCUGCAAUGGUCAGCCGGUGGAGGAGGGCCGGUUUCAGCCGGGCUAGGAGGUAGUGGUCGGAUAGGACGAAGCUGCCUCCCAGAUUUGCACUGCAGUGAUCGCCAACGAAGUGACAGGGAGAGGAGAAGGAGGUGUCCCGGCGGAGGAGGUCGAGCCGUCAAGGCGUUCUGGCACAAGAGACGGAGGUGGGCCAGCGGCGCGAGGCUGAAACCCGACUCGAUCACUCGAGCAACCGUCGCCACCGCUCGUAGAGGAGGAGAAGGGAUGUCGGAUCAACAUGUUUGAAGAUUGGGAAAAAACGGCCCGCGUGAUAUUUUCCUCCUGGUGGUAUUUUGUACGUAAAUAGACGUUAAGGGACAGGGGCAAAGAGGAGGUGGAGUUUGUUCUAGCUCAGCUCCAUCCCGAAAGAUAAGCAUCCGCAUCGAUGCUUUUGCUGUGUGGUGCAAAUUCGACUGAAUUCGGCUGCAGCUUGUUGCUUUCAGUUAGCUGCAAAAGAAGUUGAUGCGGGUCGGGGUGGCCCGAUCUUUCGAUGAGAUUGAUAACUCUCGAUUUGGGUAGGAGGUGACGUUGACGAUCCGACUGCCGCCUAGGAGGCAGCGUCUUAGCAAUUGAUACACCAACUCCAGAGGGUUAUUGAUCACACGGGGGCACGAUCAACCUGACCACGAAGGUCUUUGUUCCUGCAAGCAAUCGAAGAACAAGCAAGAACAAGAUAAAUAGCAGAUGCAAUCUAAAAUUGCGAAUAUACUAUAUCAAACCAAUGUCUCAACGAGACGAUAAGUUGGAGUCUUGACAACGGUAAAACAGGUGGUCUAACCGACACACGCGAUUACACGAAAGUAGCAAAGAUGGCUAAACUUUAUCUAAUCAAAACCCAAGGCUCCAUAGGGGGGCUCAUGGGGUAUAAAUAGGAAGAGGGAGAGAUAUUUUCGUCCACCUUGAGUAAGGAGGCCGAAAUCCAACUCUAUCUCUAACUUCCCUAACAAACUACAACUCUUUAGGAAACAGAAAAACAGAUCCGUCAGCUUGUUUUGUCCGCCACGGUCAGCACGAGUCGAAUCUCUUGAUGGGGCCAGAUCCGUUGGAAAGGUCUUGUAAUUAGCUUUCCAACAAGUACUUGUUUGCUUGAUUUGGACUCCGGAUGCGGUCUGAGUGAUUAAAACAAAUUCGGGUCUCCUGGCAGCUCGGACCCGAAUUGGAUUCAACUUUAAUUCGUGAUAUCUUUCUCUAGCAAGCUCCGAAUCAUGUGCUGUUUGAUUUGUUGGAAAGUACAUUUGAAAUCCUUCCCUCUCAGCUGUAUGAAUGCUUGAUUCUUGUUGGCCCUCCCGUUCGUCUCCAUCGUAUCUCAUCUUGACCUUGGACUUGAAAAGCUCGACAAGAUGCCUACGUAAUAAAACGAGACAAGAUAGCAGUAGCUCCGCCUCUUCAUAAAUAUGACAAUGAAAACAAUUACUACUUGAAUUCACCUGAUUAUAAAUCUUGUUAAAUAUUAUAGAAUUGAGGGUAUCAAAGGUCGUAUCCAUGGUUAGCAUGUCCAUAUCAGAAGUGUUUUUUAUCGUUUUCGAAAUUGCUUCACGCAGGACAAUUCACAUCCGAUGGUUGUACGACAUCUUCGUUAUUUCCCCAGGCUUUUGCUUCCCAAGGCCCAGCCCAAAUCCAAACCGAAAGAGGGUUAGUCU